rnacentral:sRNA from 1 species
CAGACCACUCAGAGAUGAAGGUGGGCUGGGUGAGCAGGGUGGAGGGGCUCUGGCUCCGGGCCCAACCCUUAGGAGUCGAGGCCCUGAGUGUCCGUUCCCGGCCCCCACCCCUCCCUCAGAAGCUGUUCGAGGAGCAGCUGAAAAAGUAUGACCAGCUGAAGGUGUACCUGGAGCAGAACCUGGCCGCCCAGGACCGUGUCCUCCGUGCACUGACAGAGGCCAACGUGCAGUACGCGGCCGUGCGGCGGGUACUCAGCGACCUGGACCAAAAGUCAGUGCCCAGUCCUCUGCUCUUUCCCGGAGCCGCCUGGAGCCCACCCCCAUGGUUCACCUGGAGCUGGCCCUUCUGCCCACCAGGUGGAACUCCACGCUGCAGACCCUGGUGGCCUCGUAUGAAGCCUAUGAGGACCUGAUGAAGAAGUCGCAGGAGGGCAGGGACUUCUACGCAGAUCUGGAGAGCAAGGUGGCUGCUCUGCUGGAGCGCACGCAGUCCACCUGCCAGGCCCGCGAGGCUGCCCGCCAGCAGCUCCUGGACAGGGAGCUGAAGAAGAAGCCGCCGCCACGGCCCACAGCCCCAAAGCCACUGCUGCCCCGCAGGGAGGAGAGUGAGGCAGUGGAAGCAGGAGACCCCCCUGAGGAGCUGCGCAGCUUCCCCCCUGACAUGGUGGCUGGCCCA